UGGUAGAAGAAGAAGAAGAAGAAGAGAAAGGGGAGGCAGAAAAAGAGGAAGAGGAAGAGGAAGAGGAGGAGGAGGAGGAGGAGGAGGAGGAGGGGGAGGAGAAAGUGAUUAGGUCACUCUGCCCACACCAGUAGAUCAAUGUCGUCACUGGAGUGAGCUCCUGAUAAAACCUUGUGCUGGGCUCCUUCCCUUCUCUCUGCCUCACGGGUCCUCCCCUGCCCUUCUGUCUGACUGACUGGGGGCAGAAUGACCCAAGCUUGAGUAUGGUGACCAGGGCUGAGGGCACUUUCCCCAGAGUCCGGAUGGGCUGGACAGGAAAUUAACCAGGGAUCUUGUUUUCAGAGCCAGAAGGCUGCGUGUGCUGGGCUUAGGUCAUGUGCUGGGCCCUUCCUGUGCCCUGGGUGUGGAUCCCCAGGCUUCCCAUACAACCCUCCCAGGAGGGGUUUCUCCUGCCCAGCAGCCAGAACUGGCCCCUCUGAGCUCGCCCCUCCCUGCCACAGUGCUGUGGGGGGACAGGGAACUCAGGGACACGCCCAUUUUCUAAUGGGGGUAUAAUGUCAGCUGGAUGUUUGUCCUGGGUGUUUCCUCCUGAGUUUCUGACAGCUGUGUCAUGGCAUGGACCUGUCACCACCUGUGACAACCUAUUAUGUACACAGGGCUUGUAAAUCCCUCCCUCAAGGUGCGACUGCUCAGGGGGAACUUGAGAAGGAGCUGCUCAUCCAUGUAAAAAUCUAGGUCAUUUGGUCCUUUUGAAACUUGAAUUGCCACUUGGGAAUGGCGGGGAAAGAGGGGUGAAGGCUGUUUCCUGAGUGUAGGGGAGGCAGAAGCCCCCAGGCCUGGCGUGAAUCUGCCCCCCGGUUCGCCAGGCCAGUUCCUUUCCUCUGAGAGCCUCGGUGUCCUCAUCCAUGGGACAGGGUGGCGAGGCUGAGGACUGAGGAGCUGAGGCCGCAGAGUUCAGGCUGAGUGCUGGGCACAGGUCGUGAGCUGCUCUGGUCUCCGUGUGUCUGGGGUCUCGGCCUCUUUACCAGGGUCUCUGGACACGGGUUCCCAGGUAACAUCGGGGGUCUGCCCACUGACUCAGUCACCCGGGGGCUUCCUAACGUGCGAGUGCUGAGCCCACCCCCGGAGAGUUGGAUUCCUUGUGGAACAGGUCCAAGGGCUGGUUCAACAAGACCCUGGGAGGAGCCUGGGACUCAGCAAGCUGGUCACCUUGACUGUGGCCCAGGAGUCCAGGUGCUCACCGUCAGCAGGUGAGGCUCGGCCCCGCCCUGGGUGAGGACCAGCUUUGGGUGAGGCCUCCUGUGAUGAAAUGCAUUUGCAAUGUGGUCCUCCCUCCCUCUCCGCCAAGCUCAGGUGUUGAGAGCUAGGUCCUCCCUACCGGAGGCUCAGAGGUGGGCCCUUAGGCAAUGACCGGAUCAAUGGAGCUCUGGGUGGGUGAAUCCAUUGGAUGGAUCAAUAACUUGAAUGGAUUUACUGGAGGUGCCGAAAUGAC
rnacentral:lncRNA from 1 species